GAUGAAGAACGCAGCGAAAUGCGAUAAGUAAUGUGAAUUGCAGAAUUCAGUGAAUCAUCGAAUCUUUGAACGCACAUUGCGCCCCUUGGUAUUCCGAGGGGCAUGUCUGUUCGAGCGUCAUUAUAACCCUCAAGCUCAGCUUGGUGUUGGGGCCUGCUGCACUGGCAGCCCUUAAAAUCAGUGGCGGCGCCAUCUGGCUCUAAGCGUAGUAAUUCUUCUCGCUAUGGAGUCCUGGUGGAUGCUUGCCAUCAACCCCCAAUUUUUCUAUGGUUGACCUCGGAUCAGGUAGGGAUACCCGCUGAACUUAAGCAUAUCAAUAAGCGGAGGA
rnacentral:misc_RNA from 1 species